UUUUAUGGAUAAGCAAAGAGAAUGGCUUCUUGAGAUGGAAUCUAUUCCUGGUGGAGAUGCUGUGAA
rnacentral:pre_miRNA from 2 species